GGGGCUAUAGCUCAACGGUUAGAGCGAGGAACUCAUAAUUCCGAGGUUAUUGGUUCGAAUCCAGUUAGCCCUA
rnacentral:tRNA from 1 species